rnacentral:rRNA from 1 species
CGAGUUCUGAUCCGGCUCAGAAUGAACGCCUGCGGCAGGCCUAACACACUCAAGUUCAGCGGUAGCACAGAAAAGCCUGCCUUUUGGGUUAACAGCGGCGGACGGGUUAAUAACCCCUGGGAAUCUACCUUGUAGUUGGGGACAACAGUCCGAAACCACUGCUAAUACCGCAUACGCCCUUUGGGGGAAAAUGGGGAUUUUCGGACCUCACGCUAUCAGAUGAGCCCGCGUCGGAUUAGCUUGUUGGUGAGGUAAAGGCUCACCAAGGCGAUGAUCCGUAGCUGGUCUGAGAGGAUGACCAGCCACACUGGGACUGAGACACGGCCCAGACUCCUACGGGAGGCAGCAGUGGGGAAUAUUGGACAAUGGGGGCAACCCUGAUCCAGCCAUGCCGUGUGUGUGAAGAAGGCCUUCGGGUUGUAAAGCACUUUCAGCUGUGAGGAAAGGCAAGUGGUUAAUACCCGCUUGCUGUGACGUUAACAGCAGAAGAAGGACCGGCUAACUCCGUGCCAGCAGCCGCGGUAAUACGGAGGGUCCGAGCGUUAAUCGGAAUUACUGGGCGUAAAGCGCGCGUAGGUGGUUCAGUCAGUCAGAUGUGAAAGCCCCGGGCUCAACCUGGGAACUGCACCUGAUACUGCUGAGCUAGAGUACGGUAGAGGGUAGUGGAAUUUCCGGUGUAGCGGUGAAAUGCGUAGAGAUCGGAAGGAACACCAGUGGCGAAGGCGACUACCUGGACCGAUACUGACACUGAGGUGCGAAAGCGUGGGUAGCAAACAGGAUUAGAUACCCUGGUAGUCCACGCCGUAAACGAUGUCAACUAGCCGUUGGGGGACUUGAUCCUUUAGUGGCGAAGCUAACGCGAUAAGUUGACCGCCUGGGGAGUACGGCCGCAAGGUUAAAACUCAAAUGAAUUGACGGGGGCCCGCACAAGCGGUGGAGCAUGCGGUUUAAUUCGAAGCAACGCGAAGAACCUUACCUACUCUUGACAUCCAGAGAACUUUCCAGAGAUGGAUUGGUGCCUUCGGGAACUCUGAGACAGGUGCUGCAUGGCUGUCGUCAGCUCGUGUUGUGAAAUGUUGGGUUAAGUCCCGUAACGAGCGCAACCCUUAUCCUUAUUUGCCAGCGAGUAAUGUCGGGAACUCUAAGGAGACUGCCGGUGACAAACCGGAGGAAGGUGGGGAUGACGUCAAGUCAUCAUGGCCCUUACGAGUAGGGCUACACACGUGCUACAAUGGCCGGUACAGAGGGCUGCAAACUCGCGAGAGUAAGCUAAUCUCACAAAACCGGUCGUAGUCCGGAUCGCAGUCUGCAACUCGACUGCGUGAAGUCGGAAUCGCUAGUAAUCGUGAAUCAGAAUGUCACGGUGAAUACGUUCCCGGGCCUGCACACACCCCCGUC